rnacentral:rRNA from 1 species
AUUGAACGCUGGCGGCAUGCCUUACACAUGCAAGUCGAACGGUAACAGGUUAAGCUGACGAGUGGCGAACGGGUGAGUAAUGUAUCGGAACGUGCCCAGUCGUGGGGGAUAACGUAGCGAAAGCUACGCUAAUACCGCAUACGAUCUACGGAUGAAAGCGGGGGAUCGCAAGACCUCGCGCGAUUGGAGCGGCCGAUAUCAGAUUAGGUUGUUGGUGAGGUAAAAGCUCACCAAGCCUGCGAUCUGUAGCUGGUCUGAGAGGACGACUAGCCACACUGGAACUGAGACACGGUCCAGACUCCUACGGGAGGCAGCAGUGGGGAAUUUUGGACAAUGGACGCAAGUCUGAUCCAGCAAUGCCGCGUGCAGGACGAAGGCCUUCGGGUUGUAAACUGCUUUUGUACGGAACGAAACGGUGAGCUCUAAUACAGUUUGCUAAUGUCGGUACCGUAAGAAUAAGCACCGGCUAACUACGUGCCAGCAGCCGCCGUAA